rnacentral:rRNA from 1 species
AUACGGAGGGUGCAAGCGUUAUCCGGAAUCAUAGGGUUUAAAGGGUCCGCAGGCGGAUUAAUAAGUCAGUGGUGAAAUCCUCUCGCUCAACGAGAGAACUGCCAUUGAAACUGUUAGUCUUGAAUUCGGUCGAAGUAGGCGGAAUGUGUCAUGUAGCGGUGAAAUGCAUAGAUAUGACACAGAACACCGAUAGCGAAGGCAGCUUACUAGACCUGGAUUGACGCUCAUGGACGAAAGCGUGGGGAGCGAACAGGAUUAGAUACCCUAGUAGUCC